rnacentral:rRNA from 1 species
CACGUAGGCACCAAGCGUUGUCCGGAUUUAUUGGGCGUAAAGAGCUCGUAGGCGGUUCAGUAAGUCGGGUGUGAAAACUCUGGGCUUAACCCAGAGCCGCCACUCGAUACUGCUGUGACUUGAGUUCGGUAGGGGAGCAGGGAAUUCCUAGUGUAGCGGUGAAAUGCGCAGAUAUUAGGAGGAACACCGGUGGCGAAGGCGCUGCUCUGGGCCGAUACUGACGCUGAGGAGCGAAAGCGUGGGGAGCAAACAGG